rnacentral:lncRNA from 1 species
AUUUGGAUAUUUCUACACCGUUAAACUUGCAACCGGCUCACCAUGGCCGUUAAAAUUAUUGAUUUUGAGCCCCUUCGAUCACUAGGCAAAUGAUAUCGAAAAAUCGCAAAAUUUAUUUUCUAGGUACUUCAAAUACUCUAGAUCAACUCUAACGGAGCCGAUCGUCGAUUCGAAAGUCGGAACAUCGAAAACAACUUGGAAGCACGAAGGUAGGGAUGCAAAUGGAUCCGGGUUGGUGGAGCUCCGCCUCGAUCCGCCCCGAAUGGGGUGGUAAGUGGGAACAAAAAAUAUAGAAAAAUAUAACCCGCCCCGAAUCCGCCCCGAUCCGCCAAGUAAAUGGAGCGGGAGGCCGGAGACUCUUUUCUUCCUUCAAUCUAUCCCGAUCCGUUAAAAAUCCGCUCCCGCCCCGCUCCCGCUCCGAUCCGCCCCGAAUGGAGCGGUAAGUGGGAGCCAAAAAUAAAAUGAAAAGUAACUCGCCCCGAAUCCGCCCCGCCCAGAUAAGAAAUGGAGCGGGAGGUGGGGGAACUCUCCCGCCCCCGGAUCCGCCCCGUUUGCAUCCCUACACGGAGGCCUCCGUGCUUCUAUAAGCAUACCAGCCCACUCUAUAUAUAACAGAAAAAUAAAUGGCUGAAAAUGAAUACUCUUUAAAAAAUGAUGAUAGGAGUCUUAUAAUCAAGAUCAAGGGUAUAGAUCUUGUUUUAAAUAGUUUAAAGAAUUUUCUAACAAAAAUUCAAUUGAUUUAGAUAUCUUUACGCCGGUAAACGAGAAAACGCCUCUUAUUGACCAUUAAAAUUAUAAAUUUUGAAAUCCUUUGAUUAUUAGGCAAAUGAUGUCGAAAAGAUUUGAAAUUUGAUUUCUAAAUACUUCAAGUGGUAUAGAUCAUGUUCAACGCGGGUUGUUGCUUCUUGAGUUCGCGCCACCAGCUCUUGGGCUCGGAGCUUUGGAUCCGGGCGCGGGAGCGGCGGCGCCGCCGGAGGGUUGGGCUUCGCCUCCCCUUCGUCGCUGGUCCUUCGUUCGAGCUCUCCAAUAUGGCGCAAAUCGGGAUCUGGUUUUGCUCUUACUUCUUGCUAGGGCUUUUGGGCGGCGGCGGCCUCGCUUCGUGCUCUCGGGGGACAGCUUCGGCUGCUGGCCGACUGUGGAGGGCGGCGGAUUAGGGUUCCGGGUCGACGUUCGCCGUCACCGCGUCCCUUGUGCUGGAGCGCGAUCGCAGUCGCGCUUUGUACACGGCCUGACGAGUGUUCGACCGAAAUGCCCAACCAGAAAGAACAUCAAAGUAAGUUACAAAGGAGAAGUUUUUAAUCAAUCCAUUCCAUAACUUAAAAGAAGGGCCACAGCAACUCAACACUCUCCGCUGUUAAUAUCUAAUGAGUAAACAUUUUAUCAACUAUUAAACUUAAACUAAAUUUCACAAAAUCUUUGAUUUAUUUUAAAUCAAAACAAUCAAAGUUAUACAAAUGCACAAUAGCUUAUAGUUAAAGGGUGUCAAUGCAAUUUUUCACCCUGGAAAAUCUGAAAAGAAAGAGAAGAAGCUGGCAUGUGGGCAUAAAACUCCUUCCAUGUGUUGGAGGAUCUUCUUCACCUUCUUCUUGCAUCCCUGGCAAUGGAUGGACACCUUCAACACAAAAGUCUCACACAAACCAAACAAAGAAAAGAAAACACCCACAAAAACAAAUUAAUGGUCGUGUAAGAUUACUAAAAGAAGAGCUUUAGAGCCCUAGAGAGAGAGACAGAGAGAGAGAGAGAGACACCUUAUAUUGUAAUGGUUCUGUUGUCGCUUCACCUGAAGCCAUUUAUAGAAGUUAAGUUCACACAGAAAGAGGGAAGGAGAUGGAAUGAGUGCUUGUAUUACACUAGAGAGAGAAAUGGGUGUUGGUUGAGAGAGAGAGAGAGAGAGAGAGAGAGAGAGAGAGAGAGAGGUAGGCGAAGGUGGUUUUGAGGAGAAAACACACACACCACACGUGCGCACAAACGCACAUCACACACACUGUUAAGAAGUGGGUGUGAGAGGGGUUUUUAGAGGCAAUAAGCCAUCCUUUAAUAAUGGCUAAACAUGGCCCCCCUAUUUCACUAAAAUCACAACUUUAUUCUUUUAUAAAUUAAUAUAAUUUUAUCCUAACUAUAAACCAUUCUGAUAUAACUAUCUAAUCUAUUAAAAUUUUGAUUUUAAGUUAAAAAGUUAACUACUAGCUCAAAUAAAAAAAAAAAAUAAAUUAGUUUCCAGUAAAAUCAAAAUCUUUAUAAGUUAGAUAGCUCAUCGAAAUACGGUGAUAGUUUUGAGAUAGAUGCUAUAUUAUAUUUUAACUUAUUUUUUUAAAAAAAAAAGAUAUUUGCGGGCUAGUGGGUUUUUGUGUUAAUGAUAAAUAAAGCUCAAAUCAAUAUUAAAUGGCCCCCAUUUUCAAUAUCUUAUGUUUAGGAUGUGACUUGACACCGCACUUAUAUUGUAAAAUUGUUGGAUUAUUAGGGUUUAAAUGGAGUACAUUUGGAUUUUUGGUUGCUGUUUAUGGCAAAUUUUACAACAACUUUUGGAGGAUGAUCAUGAGUACACCUCGUUCCUUAGCAUGGAAUCUCAAAUUGAUAUCUUGAUAGAAACACUUCAAGAGAUAAUUAGUUGAUGGUAAACAUUUUGGCUUUGGGUCUCAUUAUCAAUGCGUGGUUUGUAGGUUAAAUGUUACACAUGAGCUAUUUAGGAUCUAUUUAGUCCUACGUACCGUAGGGUAUGAGGUGAUUAACAAAGUAGUUGUAUUGAUAUAUUCCUCCUUAGGAGAAAUGACUGAUUUUAAAUCUCGUUAACAACCUUUCUUCAGUAGUAAAAUUAGAAACAUCCAAGUUUUAAGCAUAGCUCUUCAUAUUUUAGAUUCAAAGUAGGUUUUGUAAUACUUUGUUUCGAGUAAUAUUGCAGCUAGAAAUAGAAGCAGAAGGCAAGCAGGCUUAAAGAAUAUUCUUAAGAGCAUUGAUAGAUAAUUACAAUUUUCACACAUCUGAUACACAUUGUGACCACGUAUAACGAGUGAGUAUGUGUGCGAAUUUUGAAAACACAUACAUGAAAAUGUGAAAGCCAUCUAUUGUUUUGUUGUUGUUGUUGUUAGUUUGUUCUUGUUUUCUUUUUUUUUUUCAAGUAUGCUUAUUUAGUUCCUCGAAAGAAGUAGAGAAUACAAGUAUUCUUGUUGAAGCCUUCAAGUGCCAUUGUAAUAUUCUAACCACCAAUAGUUUCCUCCGCCAAGACGAAAAUAUUUCACUGGGCAUGCAUGAAUAAGGGGCAAGGGCCAUAUAAACAUAGAUCAUUUUUUCAGGUAUCCUUUUUAACAUACAAAAGCAAUCGCGCUUUUCUAUUUGUCAUACAUACUUUUGGCUAGGGGACGAAUACUUGUUACUGAAAAUGAAAUAGAAAUCAGAAGACAUGUGAGAGUUCCAGUGAUUAUUGGUCUGGUUACAAGUAUUUGGAUAGAUGCUGACUCGCCAAAUUUGUGAACGUCUAUUUCGAGUGAUCCGAAUCGGUCCUAACCCCAGUCAUUUACAAAAUUGCAAUUACACUACUUGUCAAGACUCGUUAAACAUCUAUAUAUCAAUGAGAUAAGAUUGUUGACUCAUGUCGUAUGACCAAAUCAAAGAAAAAGAUGGUGUUAUAUAUAUAGUAUAUAUUAUAUAGAGCAGUGGCUGCUGUGGGCUCUCAGGAGUGCACGGAGGCCUUCGUGGCUCUUGAAGGCCGAUUUUCGAUGAUUGAAUUUUCAAAUCACGAUCGCCUCCGUUAGACUUGAUCUAGGCGCAUUUGAAUUUCUAUGAAAUAAUUUGCUAUUUUUGAUAUCAUUGUACUAGUGAUCAGAAAGGAUUCAAAAUUCAUGAAUUUUUAAUGGUUGAUAUCGCCGUUUAUCAAGUUCAACGAUGUAGAAGUAUUCAAUGCAGAUGAAAUUAUUGAUACAAAUAUUCUUUAUACUAUCUAUAACAAGAUCAAUAUUUCUGAUACGAAAAUUUUGAGUGCUAUAUCACCACUGUUUUAUAGAAUUUAUUAUUUUCAAGCUGUUAAAAAUUAUUGAUUUGAAUCCUUUGUAUGCUAGAUAAAUGAUAUCGAAAUUACAAAUUAUUUUCUAAAAACUUCCAAAAUACGCUUUAUCAAGUUUAACGAGCCGAUCGUUGAUUCGGAUAACUCCCAUCAUCGAAAACGGCUCAAGAGCACGAGGCCCCGUGCUCCUGAGAGCACAGCAACCCUGCUUCUAAUAUAUAUAGUAUGAUUAUAUAUAUUAUAUAUUAUAUAUAUUAUAUAUAUAUUGAGUUGAGCUAUAUACUUUUACAAGUAUCACCAUCCGAUGGUGCUAUUUGGUUUUAGCGCAUAUGGAUCUACUUUUUGAUUAUUAAUAGCCCUUGAUUAAACACGUAUUCCCCUACCACCAUAGCCUUAACCACUAUCAUUUCAACCUCAAUCUCUCCACAUCUCCAAAAGCUAAAACAACAAGUAUUGCAUUCCCAAUGAUACUUUUUACAAGUAUCUAGCCCUACUCUUAUUAUAUAUACAGGCAACAUUCAUUAUUUUGGGCUCCACGGCUAUGUAAGAAAGGUAAAUUAUGUAGUAAACUCUUUGACCCAUGCAACUCUUAAAGAGUCAAUUUGCCGUGUUGUUUGUCUCUCUCUAGAGUGUUCGAGAGAGAAAAGAAGAGGGUGGUUGUUUUUUGUAGUGUGCUUAUGUUGUGAACGAUCAUUUGGCUUUAAAAUAAAAGAACCCAAAUAAAUUAGAUUUCAUUUAUGUUAUCCGAUAUGUUCUUUUGUCUCUGUUUUAGAUCAAUUCUCGAUUGAUGAAUAGCACGUAUAAUCCUAUGACAUAGUUUAUGCUGUACGAACCAAAAACACUCUUUAUUCAGAAAAAUAAAUUCCUUGGUAAGCUAAAUCAGACUAAGAACAUGUUGCCUUUAAUUAUAACUUAUGAAGUUUUUUAUAUCAAGAAAGAGAAAAUAUAGGCCCAUUCUUAGAACCAUCAUUGCAUAGAACUGAGUAACAAAAAAAGGGCAUAGAUAUUAAACAAUGGUAAGCAUGAACUUAAUUUGUUUUUAUCUUAUGUCAAAUAAUUAAUAGACAUGCCUAUAAAAUUAUUGACGCAAGUAAUAUUAACAAUGGUAAAUUGUUUACGCUAGUCAUUUAUUCUAAGAAUUCGAGCUAGAAUAUUUUUAGAAGAAUCACCGUCCUCCUUGGUGGCUAUAGGUUUUUAGCCAUUGGAUCUACUUUUGAUUACUAAUAGUCCAUUGGAUCAAACACAUUCACUCCACACCUACCACCAUCCAUCUCAACCUCACAUCUCCCAUCAAUGCGUUAAAAAUUUAAAAAUACCACUCCCCCUUGGUCGCUUUUUGAGAGUAUUCUUAUUCAUUCCCAACUGCAGAAAGAGCUAAUAAGAGCUAUGCUCCUCCUUCGCUGCCAUGCUUUCAGAAAUGCCACAUGUAAUCAUUAAUUAGCUGCUCUGACCAAAUUGCAAUUCAAAAUAAAGGCAAAAGAAAAGUGGGGGAAAAGAUGACAGCAAAUAGCUUGCAUCGUUUCUUCACGUGGAAUUGUUUCUUUUCUUUCUUCCUUUUUUCUUUCACCCACCCUCCCACCCCCCUGUUCUGAAAGCUCAAUGUUAAAUGCUUAUCUAUAUCACUUUUAAUGGCAUGUACUCCACAAUUCUCUAUUUAGCUAAGCCUAAGGUUUGGGUUUCCCCUCAAAUGUUGGACAAGAACAAAAGGAAUUAUGAAACGCAUACUUCCAACUUCCCAGGCAGGUGAAGUUUUUUGUUGUACUAAGUGUAAUACUUUUACUUGCGGGUGGAAAGUUGGUGUCAUGAGGAAAUCACAGUUUGCUUUUGCUGUGAUGCAACUGUCCCGAACAACUGGAGACUAACUUGCAACUCCUUUUUUUUGCAGGUUUAAUUUCAGGCACACAAUGGAAAGUUGUGGUGGUACAGAGAGAGAGGGAGAUGAGAGAGAGAAAGCAGGGAAUUUUUUCUGCGAACGCAGGUUCAACUGCAUGUCAGAAAUAGAUCAAUUAACCCAUUAUUGGCAAACCCUGCCCCACCCCUUAAAACAUAAAAUUUUCAUAAUGCCCCAAUUUGGAUGUGAUUGGUUUAAUACCGGAGUUGUCCCCAAGUAAUGAAGAAAGUUUAUAAAUUUUCAAUAUUUAUUACAGAAACAUUCAAUUAAAUAAGGUUUGUCGGCUCUUUUGUCACCAUUGCUUCAAAUUCUGCUUUUCAACAGUACAAAAUUAGGUUUUUUAGCGGAGCACCCCAAUCUUGGGUCACUAUAAAAAUUUUAGAGUUUUUAAAUAACGACAUUUUCAAUUGAAUCUUCCUGAUGAUUUUUAAUAGCCAUUACACCCUACUAAAGGUGCGUAUAAUUCUUGUUUGAAAAUUUAUAAUGAAUUAAAAACAGUUUUUAUUAAAAUGCCCCCGAAUACUAAUGACAGUUUUUUUAAAUUUUUAUGUUUAAGCAUGUAAAUAUACGUGGUGGACAGGGUCCGGGCAAAGUUCCUCGAUAGUGAGGUAUGAUUUGUGCGCAAUAAAAUGAAAUGAUCACAUAGGAGGGGGAAGGUACAAAGUUUGAUCAUAUCUGGGUGAAUGCCAACUGAUACCUUUGCAAAUAAUUUUUGAUCAUUUUAUGUGUGGUUUAAAUGCUCGAAUCUUGGCUACCAUCACACCCACAGUAGAUUCUAUCAAGUGUGUGUUCACCUGCACUGUCAACAACUGAUAUCUAACUCAGAACCCAUGAGCAACAACCUGGCAGACAGUAAGCUCUUCGUGGAUCCAUGCGAAUUAAUAUUUUAAAAAAUCAGGUGGAAUACGAAACAGUGGAAUAAAGUCACUGAUGAGUGAAUCAAGUGCAUUCAGUCUAUACAUUAUUAUGUUAAUCAUUUAUUUAUUUUUAAACUUAAUUAUAUAAUUAUAUGUAUAUAUUAUUUUAGGAUAUGGAGCUGAAAUACUAUCAAAAGUAGUACCUAAGUUAUUAGUGUUAUUAGGUUUUUGAUCUUUGGAUGAAAAAAACUAUUAUGAUUAGGCAUGAUGUGGCGCUCUUAUAAAGGGUUGAAUGAGUUAUGUUAUUUAUUAGUGUAAUCUAAUAAUUGAAAAUAGUUAAAAGAUUAAAUCUAAGGCGGAAAACUUAGUCAUGGGUUAAAUCUAACCGGAAAAUUUGAUAGCGAACCAAACGGUUGGUGGCUAAUUGAUAGUAUCGCAGCGAUAAUUACAGUAGUUCUGUGCUCUCAGGAGCAACGGAGGCCCUCCGGCUCCUAAGUCAUUUUUGAUGAUAGAAUUUUUCAAAUUGACAGGAUCGGCUCUGUUAGACUUGAUUCUAACGUCAUUUGAAGUUUCUAGAAAAUAAUUUUUCGCCGCUUUUUUUAUAUCAUUACGUCUACAAUCGAAAAGGAUUCAAAAUCAAUAAUUUUAACCGGUUGAAAAUGAAAAUUCUAUAAAAAGUGGUGAUAUAGCAACUAAGAAUUUUCGAUCAGAAAUAUGAUCUUGUCUGUAAGAUAGUAAAGAAUUUGUAUCAAUUUCAUCUGAUUUGAAUACUCUAUAACGUUAAACAUUGAAAAGCGGCAAAUUAUCAACCAUUAAAAAUUAUUUGAUUUUGAUCAUUUCGAUCUAUCUAAUAAAUGAAGUCAAAUGGAAAAAUUAUUUUCUGAAACUUCAAAAUACGGCUACCAUCAAGUCUAACGGAGCCGAAUCGUCGAUUCGGAAAUUCAUCAUCUGCACGCUCAGGACACGGAGGGCUCCGUGCUU